rnacentral:lncRNA from 1 species
UUCCAUACAAAUAUACAAUGGCUCUGACUCAUUAGUCAUACUGCUACUACAUACAUAUAUAAUAGCUUUCUCUAUCACUAUAAAAACACCCCAAGCAAUCAUACACACAUAGUUGGAGGAGCUUCUCAGAGCUGCUGCACACACCACACCAAAAUGGAUCAGGUGAGCUACAACAGGCUAGGCCGAAGGCGACGGCGGACGACGAGGGGCUUCCGCUUCAGCUCUCUGCGGCUGUCUGUCCUCCGUCUGCGCGUGAAGUUCUUCAGCUUUCUCAGCCUUUUCACCGACUGCAUGGAAGAUGUCAAAUGCGGUCAGCCGAGAGGCGGCGCUACUGCUCGA